CAUAGUCAUAUGUCUGAGUUCAUAUUCUGCAUGAGACAGGAAACUUAAGUCAACAGCAGCUGGUAUAAGGCAGCUAGGAUAGAGACAACCAUGCUGUUUGUCAAAACUGUGUUAAGACUAGUAUGUCCCAAAAUAUGUGUUUUCAACUUUAAAGCA